UCGAGUAGUUCGUUUUUGCUCGUUAAGAACUCGAGUCGAGUUUAGGCUCAAGUUGAUUCAUUCGAAUCAAGUGUUGACCAAGUCGAACUCGAAUAGCUUGCGAUUUAUCUCGUCUAUUUACAGUCCUAGUUUGAAAUAUGGUGUAUGCAUAUAUGACUAGGAAAUAUGGUGUAUGCAUAUCGGCAAUACAUCUAAUCUUUUAGCCAUUGCAAGAGGAUGUCCUCAACUCGUUUACCUGGAUGCGAGUGUUCUCCAGAAUUUGGGCGAUUUGACAUUGGUCUUUCCCAUCUCGUCAAAAAUUGCCAAAUGCUCGAGUCAUGCCACAUGGUGUACUGCCCGAACAUAACAGUUGCCGUAGUUGCUACCCUUGUUUCCAGUUGCCCCAGCAUAAAGAAGGUCCUGGUGGAGAAAUGGAAGGUAAGCUCUAGAAC